GCGGUCGUAGCUCAGUUGGAUAGAGCGCCUGCCUACGGAGCAGGAGGUCGGGAGUUCGAAUCUCUUCGACCGCA
rnacentral:tRNA from 1 species